GGCGCGAAGGGCCUAAACAUGCAAGUAGGAGGRAUGCUCAAUGUUAGCGGCGGACGGGUGAGUAACACGUGGGUAACCUGCCUGUAAGACUGGGAUAACUCCGGGAAACCGGAGCUAAUACCGGAUAGUUCCUUGAACCGCAUGGUUCAAGGAUGAAAGACGGUUUCGGCUGUCACUUACAGAUGGACCCGCGGCGCAUUAGCUAGUUGGUGAGGUAACGGCUCACCAAGGCGACGAUGCGUAGCCGACCUGAGAGGGUGAUCGGCCACACUGGGACUGAGACACGGCCCAGACUCCUACGGGAGGCAGCAGUAGGGAAUCUUCCGCAAUGGACGAAAGUCUGACGGAGCAACGCCGCGUGAGUGAUGAAGGUUUUCGGAUCGUAAAGCUCUGUUGUUAGGGAAGAACAAGUGCAAGAGUAACUGCUUGCACCUUGACGGUACCUAACCAGAAAGCCACGGCUAACUACGUGCCAGCAGCCGCGGUAAUACGUAGGUGGCAAGCGUUGUCCGGAAUUAUUGGGCGUAAAGGGCUCGCAGGCGGUUUCUUAAGUCUGAUGUGAAAGCCCCCGGCUCAACCGGGGAGGGUCAUUGGAAACUGGGAAACUUGAGUGCAGAAGAGGAGAGUGGAAUUCCACGUGUAGCGGUGAAAUGCGUAGAGAUGUGGAGGAACACCAGUGGCGAAGGCGACUCUCUGGUCUGUAACUGACGCUGAGGAGCGAAAGCGUGGGGAGCGAACAGGAUUAGAUACCCUGGUAGUCCACGCCGUAAACGAUGAGUGCUAAGUGUUAGGGGGUUUCCGCCCCUUAGUGCUGCAGCUAACGCAUUAAGCACUCCGCCUGGGGAAGUACGGUCGCAAGACUGAAACUCAAAGGAAUUGACGGGGGGCCCGCACAAGCGGYGGGAGCAUGUGGGUUUAAUUCCGAAGCAACGCGGAAGAACCUUUACCAGGGUCUUUGACAUCCUUCUGGACA
rnacentral:rRNA from 1 species